UAGGUGUCCUAGAGGUGUAGAAGCCUCUAAGGGUAGGUCUGUUCGCCCUUUAAAAUCUAACAUGAGCUGAGUUCAGAACGGCGUGAGCUAGUUCAGUUUCUAUCCUCUUUUAAAAAUAAGCUAAUUUUGUACGAAAGGACUUUUUCGCUAAAGUAAUGCUUUGGCCCAGCCCUAUAAUUACACAAAUAUUGGUACAUGACGGGCUGAUCAACUCAUAAAAAGGGCUG
rnacentral:rRNA from 1 species